AAAUUUAAGAAGAGAUGCUCGAGAGCAAUGGGGCUUUCACAGGACAUGAGGAUUUCAGCGCUACCUUCUUGGAUUAAGAAUUUGCUGCUCAGAUCAGAGAUUCUUGAUUUGGUAGAUGUCAACGAUUUGGAGAAUAUAGUCUCGGACCUAGCUAAUGAUGGCUUUAACGAAUUGAUGUUUCUAGUUAUUUUCAGCUGCAAUGAGAUGAAAUGUCUCGUGAACUCUUUGGAAAGGACAGGAAGAGUAACUCUCCACAAGUUAGAAUGGUUGUUUAUACAUAAAAAUCAGAAUUUUGUUGAAAUAUGCCACGGUCAACUCCCAGCCGGGUGCUUGAGCAAUGUAAAAAGGAUAGAUGUGGAAGAUUGUGGCAGUAUGUUGAAAAUUUUACCAAGUCAUUUGGUACAAAGCUUUCAAAAUCUUCAACGUUUGAGGGUAGAAAGUUGUGACUUGCUGGUGUCUGUAUUCGAAAUUGAAAGGGUUAAUAUUGCAAAAGAAGAAAUCGAGUUGUUUUCGUCAUUAGAGAAACUGACUCUGAUCGACCUGCCUCGGAUGACAGACAUAUGGAAGGGUGACACUCAAUUUGUAAGCCUCCGUAACCUGAAGAAAGUAAGAGUGGAAGAGUGCGAUGAGUUGAGACAAGUAUUUCCGGCAAAUCUUGGGAAGAAAGCAGCAGCAGAGGAGAUGGUACUGUACCGGAACAGAAGAGAUCAGAUUCACAUUCACGCCACAACCUCAACCUCCUCUCCGACUCCGAGUUUGGGAAACCUGGUUUCUAUUACAAUUCGGGGAUGUGGGCAACUACGACAACUCUUCACAACCUCCAUGGUCAAAAGCCUGGUGCGACUUGAAAGCCUAGAAGUAAGCAGCUGCCCAACACUGCAAGAAAUAAUCAUGGAUGAUGAUGGAGAAGUGGGACUGCAGGGAGCAUCAACAGAGAAGAUCACGUUUCCAAGUUUGUUCAUCAUACAACUCUGUCACUUAGACAGCCUCGCUUGUUUCUUUUCAGCAGGUUCACAUGCUACUAUUGAAUUCCUAACUUUGGCGGCUUUGCUAAUAAUUGAUUGUCCAAGCAUGAAGACCUUUGGUUAUGGAGACCAACUGACACCCAAGCUGCUGAAAGGUGUGUUAGUAAAUGGUGAAUAUCGCUGGACGGGUAACCUUAACCACACCAUUCAACAAUACGUGUACAACGAGAAGGUACGUCAAGUUAGCAAUUGCUUGCCCAUUAAAUUCCUUGUUUUUUUUUUCUUAAUUGUAUUUGUAUGUGGUGGUAAAAUAAUUUUCUACAUCUACUUAUACUAGCACACCAUUUUAAUUUUAUUUUUCAUUUGGGGCAGAAAAUUCGGGAGAAAGAACCAAUGAAGUCAGGAAUUUCAUCUGAGACUACUUCCUCUGACACUGAGAAUUGAUUGUGUAAAACAAACGGUAUGCAUGCGUAAAAUUUUACUAAAUUCCCUAGAUUUUGUCACAUAUUUAUCCUUUGACAUUGCUCUAACUAAUCCAAAUACUUGAUUUGUUUUCAGAACCAUCAUAUAAGGAGCGUUGACAGGUUCGCAUACAUCACCAGUUUAUUGAAUUUCAUUCUCCUUUUUCAUGUCUUAUAUAUUAAAUGCACAAAAGAAUUUCAUGUAUUUUCUUCGUUCGGGAUUGUGCAUGAUGUUAUUUAUUCUGGUUUCAAUCUCUCAGGUAUGCCAAGCCCAGAUGCCAGAUUGCUUGGGAUGUUAAAAUAAUAAUUACUUUAGUUCGUGGAGCUGCCUGUAAAAAUUUGGUAUCCAUAAUGUAUGUUGUUUGUUUAGAUAUUAAACAAUUAGAGUUUGUUAACCAUAGACGUAUUCUCAAUGUAAUAAGUGUCGGCAGGAAAGUGCUGAUGUCAAUUCUGAAAAAUAAAUGUAAUUUGGUAUUACAAGUGAGAAAAAUAAUUGUGAAUCCUUAUUUCUUUUGUUUGCACUUUGUUAAUAGUCAAUUUAAGAGAUACCUUAAUGAUAUUCUCUUCUUCUAUUUCUUCUAUUCUUUAAUUGUUUUUCAUAGUAAAAAAAAAAUUAAAAUUAUUUGAUAUCCUAGUAACCUACUUUUAGAGCCUGCUAAUUUAGUUGCAGUUUUGCAGUAUUGAGUUACUGAAUUAAAAAAAUUAGAUUUUUCCUCUUUCCAGAUCAACGCAUGCUAAUGCAACAUUGCUUUCUGGCAAUAGAACAGGCUGCCAAUGGAACACAAAUUUAUAAGUUUCGGGAUAAAAUUUUCAUUAACUAAUAAAAAGCGGAAUGACAAUUUCCUAGUAACAGAUGCUGAAUCUGUAGCCACAUUUUCUUGGUAACCAUUUUUCCAAAGUUCAAAGCUUCUCUGCUACUUGUGCCCAAUCCUGUCUCAAGCCAAUCUCAGAAAUAACUCUGAGAAGAUGCCCUGCCAUCAGAGAUCAAUCAAAAGGCCUUCAGGAUUUGGCUGACAUAUAAAUGCUUGAAGCAAAAUUUUACCUUCAGCAGCAGCUGCACCAAGAAAAUGCACAACCAUUUGAUCAUUAUCAAAUGCAAAAUGAACAGGCACAAGCAGAGAAACAGGUUUCAGAAUUGGAGCAGCGGCUCCGUGGGGGCCGGUGGGAGCUUCACUAUUGGAGGGUGAGAACAGAAAUCGGGCCAUCAUCAUUCUGAUUUCUGAAGAGUUUAUUGUGUUUCUAUCAUGAGAUGAUUAAGUGCGUUGACUAUGUUCUGGUGUUGUGCUGAAUGUUUAUUUCAACAUAACUUUGUCUGGAACAACUUGUGUUUGGAGUUUUUAGUUUCACAAAGAUAUUAUUUGCGUACUUUAUUUCAGUUUAAUUUCCAUAGAUGACUUUUAUACGGCUUAUAUAAAUCUUGAUUUCUGCGGGGGUUAAGUUUGUGUUUAUUACAUACGCAUACAUACAUAUGAAAAGACCAAUAUGCUCAGGCUUUGCAACAUAAACUCGGGUGAGUCCUCUAACAGUCGUUUUGCCUCUUAUUUUUUCGAUAAAUCUUAACAUUUGACUCCAAAGUGUCACGUGGAACUCAUAUAUCGGAUUAUGAAUUUCUUAAUUUCUGAAUUAAUUAUUACUUUAUUGUAUCAACACUUGGGGAAAUUCCACACAGCAACACAAGAAGUCAUUAAAAAAUUCAACAGGUUGCCAAUGGGAGUAGAAAUUUACAGGUUUCAGAAUAAAAUAUUUUCAUUAAUUGAUAAAAUAUUUGAAUGGAAAUACUAGAAUUAUUAUUCUAAAUGAAUGGGUAAGAAACAAAAAACUAAAUCUGAAUUUCGUAGCUCGUACUGUUUGUGGUGAAAAAUAUGACGACGAGGAAUUCAUGAGUAGAAAGGUGCUCCCCUCAUCAAAAACUAGCUCAUCAUGGGUUUUCAUCCGCAAGGAGCCAUGUUCUGGUCGCUCGAGUGCUUCGCUUGGUUGGGGAUAGGCGACGAGAGGCCCUGUUCGAAUAUGAUCGGUCUUGACUGGUCAAAGAAUCGGGCCUAGGUCAUGGGUAUCUAGGAUGUUGGUUUUUCCCUAAGAAUUCGGGGCAUGAGAUCCACUCAAGGGCACUCACCCACGAUGGUGCAACCGACCCAGAAAUGAUUGUGGAGAUAGGGCCGCAAAUUUCGGAUGGGUAUAAACGACACAGGGUACAAGUUUUUCCAAGAAAAAAGACUCAAUUAGUGACUUGAACGUUAGGGGGUUAUCGCCAGAAAAACAUCUAGCAUUACUAAUAUGACCAAUAAUAUAUUACGUGAGUUAUACUCUAAUCUGGUAAUAUAAUAACAAUUCUUACCAAAAAUUUAUCAACUUAAAAACAAUGUUGGGUACAUUUUCUUUUAUGUUAUGAUUACAUACCCACACCCAACUCCAAGGGCGUAGUCGGGUUGGUAACAACAUGAAGCUUGUAGCAGCUAACCACUCGGGUUCGAGUCUUGGGGGAGAUAAGGAGAACAUAAAAUUGUUUGGGUUUGGCCCACCCCCUUACUUUUAAAAAAAAAAAAAGAUACCCACACCUUCAAUGAUGACUAUAAUGCACAAAUAUACAUUUAGCUUCACAAAAAUUGACACACAAACCCUCGAUUAUUUGAAAUGAUUUAAAUUUAUUGGAAAUUGUUUAUUUUGUGUGGGAAUAAUUACACAGGUCAAGCGUCAUCAAGAACUCCUUAUAAAAAAUUGAGGAGCCAUGGAAUAACGAACAUGCUAGGUUGGGGAAUUUUGAUGAUAAUUGGAGCUAUAUUAGCUCGAUACUUCAAGCAAUGGGAUCCAAUUUGGUUUUAUUCACAUACUUUGGUUCAGUCACUGGGAUUUGUACUUGGCGUGGCUGGUGUAAUUUGUGGACUUGUGCUGGAAAAUAAAUUCGAUGCCGAUGUUUCAACCCACAAAGGUCUUGGAAUCUUCAUACUUGUUCUUGGUUGCCUCCAGGUUUUUUUAUGGUCACACUAUUUAGCAAUUUUUGGACUUUCUCUCUCUCUCUCUCUCUUUUUCUGUUUGAUGCUCACACUUCAUAAAUUUCUAUUUAUUUAUUUAUGUUGAGUGAUUUUCAAGUAAUUUUAUAUAAUUCCUCACUUGAAUUUAAGUCUUAAAGAAGAUUUAAGCUUUGUUAAAAUUUAAUAUAUCUUACUAAUUGUGAUGAAAUAUAUUAAACAGUGACAGAUUACAUCUACAUUUUUUAAAAUAAAUGUGAGAAAAUAUUAAAGAGUGACGACAUAUAACUAGGGAUGGCAAUGGGGAGGGGAGGGGAGGGGACCAAUCUCCCCGUACUCAUCCCCGAUAUUUUGCGUAUGUCCCCGUCCCAUCCCCGUCCCCAUCAGAAUUACUUGAGAGAAUCCACAUCCCCUCCCCGAAUAAUAACAGGGGAUUCCCAAGGGUCCCCGAUCCCCGAAUAACUAAUACAUUUUUUGUUUUCAAUUUUGAGUUAAUCAUAUUAAAAUAAAAAAUUCAAAUAAAAGUAAAGUUUGAAAUAUAUCUUACAUUAAUAUCCAUUACAAAAGUCACAUACAUUAAAUUAGUAAGUAACGCAACAUGUAAGGGAUACAAACUUCUUUUACAAAUUAUCGUGAAUAAAUUAAUAGUCUAAUGUAAAAUUAUUAGAAAUAAAAUCAAAUUUAGAUUCAAAAUUAACUUUUUCAAUGGUGGCGUGGCACUUUAUAAAUGUGGACUAUUCCUUUUACAGCACAAUAGUUAAGUCGGAGCAAAUCAAGAGCAAAUAUUAUAUUAGAUUAAAUUAGAUAUUAAAAUUGUGAUUCGCUGUGGGCAAUUAUAACAUCUAAAAAUAAAUAUAAAAAAUAGAUUUAAGUUUAAAACAUUUAAUGAAUAUUAAAAUUAAAACAAAAUUUUUGGGCUAAUAAAAUUUACCAGGUUUUUUUAAUAUCCUAAAUAAAAAUUUAGGACUUUAAUUAGUUAAUUAGGUCUAAAAGUUUAAUAAUAUAAAUAUAUUGAUAUUUGUUAUUUUUACCAAUAUUUAUAAUUUUAUAAUUCAAAUUUUAUUAUUUAUUUACUAGUAAUUUUAAAAAAUAAAAAUAAAAUUAAAAAUUAAAAUGGGGAAAUGGGUAGGGGAUGGGGAUUCCACCUCAUCCCCGUCCCCUCCCUGAAUAAGAAAUUGGGUAAAAAAAUGUUCCCGUCCUCUCCCCGAAUAAGAAAUUGGGUAUGAAAUUAUCCUCAUACCCUCCCCGAAUGGGGAAAAUCUCCGAGGGUACCCGUCCCCGUGGGGAUUUUUACCAUCCCUACAUAUAACUCGCCCCUCCAACCCAAGGCCUUAUUUUAACUUUCGUUUCAUAUAAAGCACACAAUUUUACACUUUGGACCCCAUUACUUUGGACGAUUUAUGUUUUACCCCUCAUCUCUCUAAAUAUCUUUUUAUAGAGAUUGACCUUUCUAAAUUUAUUACUUUUAUGAUGCUUUUUGGCCACUUCGAAUUUUCAAUUUUAGCUCUGCCUUGUUUCUAGCCAUAAUGUGCAGGAGGGAACUAAAUAAAUUUGUAGGGUGGCCGAGUCCAAGGAAAAAAAAAUCGGGGGAAAAUUAAAUAUUAAAUGAAAAUUUCCCCAUCUCAUAUUAAUUUUACUUUUGACCCCAAAUUUUAUACAUAAUAUUUUCACAGCCUAGUAUAUUGUAUGAUUUAUCAAUUAUAGCCCCACUAUUGGCCUCUGAAAUUUUACCGUUUUGAUGUUAUAGCCUAGUCAAGUAUAUAAUUUCUCCAUUAUGCUGCCGUCAAAGCAAAAUUCUUAGAAAAUUUACAAUACUUUAUUUGAUGAACCAUUAACAAGUUUUUGUCCUUUUUUUUUUUCUAAUUAUGUGUUACUAGAUUAUUUAAUUUAAAUUUAUAUAAAAUGUAAAAUGUUAAUGAUUUGUGUUAUGUAGGUAAUGGCAUUUUUGGCCCGACCCAACAAGGAAUCAAAAGUGAGAAAAUAUUGGAAUUGGUACCAUCACAACAUGGGGAGGAUUCUGAUCAUAUUUGCAAUAGCAAAUAUUUUCUACGGAAUUCAUUUGGGUGAAAAAGGAAAGGGAUGGAAUGCUGGUUAUGGGAUCACUAUUGCCAUCUUGUUUUUGAUCGCUAUUGUUCUAGAAAUAAGGAUGUGGAUGAGGAAAUAAAAGUUCUUUACUUCAUCAAAAAUGCUAUUUGGACCAUUAAAAAAAAUAUUACAAUUUUUUUUUGUCAAAGUAGUAUUGAUGUACCUUUUAAUUAUUUUAUAUAUAUUGAUUAAUGACUGAUUUAUGUUUGUUUUUUGUUUCACUCAUAAAUUCUACUGAUUUUUCUAAAGACAAUGAAAACAUAUGAUUAUAAUUAUUGGAAUAUUUCAUUUUUAGUUUGUUAUAUCAAAUUUUACUUUCAAAUAUUCUCAGAAUCAACACAAAUAGAUAAAUGGGAAAAUGAGUAAAACUACUCCUCUUGUUUAAUAAAAUCAAGCACGAGGGGGUAUCGCUUAUUUUCCCUAGAUAAACCAAUGCCCUAUCUAAGUUUUGAAAAUUAUGUGAUGCAUGUAUAACAUCAUAACAACCCUUGUGCCUUAGAAAAAUUUUAAAAACGUCUUUGCUGAUUUUUAAACUUUUGGGUUUUUACCUCUUGUGAAACUAUUGCAAACUUGCCCCACCUACACUCGGUAUAUUGAUUUGUACUAGUCAUGCUCUCAAUUAGGACUAAUUUCUCGAUUGGCAAUAUUUUCAUCGUGCAAAUGAUGUUGCCUUAUGCCAAAACUUUUCAAUAUGAAAUGAGAAAGAAAGCAACACUCCACCUCAAUUGUCCCACUUGAGGUCCUCUUGUUGUAAUAAAGCUCAAAAAGUUUCAACUACUUAUCUAAGAUUGGUACCUUUUGUUUUGUUUGCAUCCCCACUACACUUUAUUCGUCCAUUCAAUAAUUUUCCUAAUGUCAGACAACCAAAUAAUGUUGAAAUUGAAUAAACAAUCAAAUUGAUGAUGGGGUUGAAACUCUAACUAAUUAAAAAAAAACUACUAAAUUGAUUGUUCUUUUAAAUAAAUAUGAAAUUAAUGAACACAAUUGGUUAUUUAUGAAAUUUUUUUUUUCUGAUGGGGACAUUCUUAUUUUAUAAAGCCCGAACUCGAACGAAAACAAUAAAUGUAUAUCAUUGUAUGGUUAGAUUUUAAAUCCGCAUUUUCACUAAGAGUUGACGUCUACACCGAAAACUAACUAAUAGAUAAUUAUAAUAAUUAAAGUGUAAAUCUCAUUAAAGUAAACUCCAUUUUUGGACUCAAAUUUACUCAGACUCCACAUUUGGAGAGCUGAUACUCAUCCAGAUGGGUUGCCAUAAAUAAAAUGAACCUUGUAAUUAUCUGUUAAGUGACCUGCAAGCGCCUAAUUAUCUGCUGACCAGUCAAACGUUGACCAAAAUUCUCUUGUUACUGUAGAAACGAAGCAGAGUCCUAGCCCAGGUGGGCCCCACAAGGCUGCGUUGGAUUUCGGAUAAAGACAACAAUUUCAUAAAUUAAGUACUAAAUUUAAAAAUUCCCCAAUAAAUUCAUCCCGUCACUGGCAUUCUGUCAAUUCUUUGUCCAUUUGCUUCUCAAUUGAGUCUCACACCAACCACCACGUCUCUGGUCUCCUAUAAAUAUGUUCUAGCAGUGACUAUUAUUGUAUCACUAUUCACUUACAAACUUGAAAAAAAUCACUAGGGUUUAAUCUUUCUCUAAAUGUGAAUUUCAUUUGUAAGCGUCAUCAUCAGAUAAUCACUCUGAUAACCUUUUUUUUGUGGGGUUUUUUCUUUUUUAUUUUCACAAUUGCAUCAUGUAUACGUAUCAUCUACACAUACAUAUAUAGCUAGAAGCUUGAUUAUAUAUAGUUAUUAGAUCGAUUCUGAUUAGUCAAGGGUUUGUUAGAUCACAACGUUUCCAAAAGUUUUUUUAUUAGGGUUUCUAACCAUGAUAUUUUUUUGCAAAAGUUAUUUAUCAGUUGAUCAUGAGAUAAAGAUCUUGAAAUUGCAUUUUGAUAUGAAAUUCUGAUACAUGAUGCGGAUGCAAUUUUGACCUAUUUAGUAGUUAUAUUAUGAUCUUAAUUCUGGUGGCUUUGUUUUUCAUUUUUUUUUUUUUUGCUUUUGAAUUUGAAGGUUUUGUAGGGAUUUGCAGUUAUGGAUAAGGGCAAGAGACCAAUCCAAGAAGAAGAAAAUUUGUCAUCUCCUCUUGAUGAUUAUCAUACAAAUAAUAUGAUCUUACCUCCAACGCCACUAGCUCCACCGGGUUUCAGUGUUUUGAAUUUUGAAGGAUCAGGUGAUAGAAAAAUAUGAAACCCUAGCCAAACAAGUUAUAAGUUAAUUUAGAGAUGAUUUUAUUUAGUUCUUUUCUUUUUUUUAAAAAAAUUAGUAAACAUUAACUUUUAAGUAGAGCUUGAAUAUAUGUGGUGCAGGCAAAGAAACAACAGCAGCUUCUGCUGUGGAUGACAUGGAUCAGGUGGCCAAGGAAGAUUUCUUUUCCAAAUUCUUGAGCGUGAGCGUUGCUGGAGUUCCUGUCCCCUCUAUGGAGCAAUAUUCUAUGUCGUCGGCAUCAAACACCGGAGUUUUGCCAAUGGCUCAAGCUGAUGAUUAUCACGAUGAAAUGGCCGAUCCGAUACUGCCAAUUUCACACAAACUUGCUGGCAAUAAGCCACCUCCGGCAACAGCUGAUGAUGACAAAGAUAAACCACUUGUGUUCAAAAAAACCAUGCCUCCUCAUGAGCUGGCUCAACUAGCCAUAUUUGAUCCUAAGCGAGCAAAGAGGUACAUAGAUUUCUUUCAAAAUUAAACUUACUAUCGUUGCUAUCCAUACACUCUUUUCUUGUGCUAUUAGUGACUUAUUUCUCUUCAUUUUAGUUUUACUUUAAUAUGCUGAUAAGUAAAUGUGUUAUUAUUAGCACCUCUAUGGUGUUCAUUUCUCAAUUCACAAGUGGUACCCAAAAUCUAUUUGAUACAUUUUUUAUAAAAAAUAUAGGUUCUAUAUAUGUUUUCUUAGUCGUAUAUACGCCAAUGAUCAUCAAAUCUAUGUCUAAAUGGAUCUGAAUUCAUUAAUUGAGAAAUAUAGUUGUAAGAAUACAUUUGUAUCAAUAUUUUAUAUAUCUAAUAAUAGUUGUUCAUGUUUUGGUAGUACUAAACUUCAAUCUGCAUUUUGGUUUAAAUAUAACACAUGAUGUUAUAUAAUGUUGUCAAACAUUGAAAUGGAACAUUAGACAUGAAUUAGAUAAGUAUUUCGCGAACUCCGUGAUCAUUAACGCUUGUUUUCCACGUAAAUAACGAUGUCUUUUGGAUGAAAAAGAUACUAAAAAUAGAAAUUUGGAUAAAGAUUUUAUGUAUAAAAUGUAAUUUUAAGUUAAACUUUCAAUUCAUAGAAUCUAUGUAAGAUUAUAUGUGAAAAUCAAAGAACUAAUUAGAAGAGUGUUUAUUGAACAUGUAUUUGGUAUUCAUCUAGAUUUUCAAAUUAAAGUCCAGAGACUAGCAGUCACAGAAUAAUGAUCUAUAGAAGUUUCCUCAAUUCGUCUGAUUUAUUCAAACUUUUUGUACUCUGUCCAUGGCUUGAUUUGUUUCAACUGUUAUCGUCUUUUGAUCUAUAUUUGUCAUGUAAUCAUGCAUUUUCAUACUUCCUGUAAAUGCAUAUGAUGAUUAUAUAAGCAGGUCUAUAUGCUUGCAAGCAAAAAUGAAUUUUAAUUAAUCCUAUUUGUAGGUUUUAUAACAAAGGUUAAAAGAUUGUUUCUAUAUCAUACUCUAUGUGCUCCUUUGAAUAUGUGUCAUAGGAUCGUGGCAAACCGGAUGUCAGCAAUUAGGGCAAAGGAACGGAAGAAGCUGUACAUAUACAUGCUUGAACAUAAGAUGCAUAAUUUGCGAUCUAAUUCAACUACAUUGACUGCUCAAUUGACCCUAUUGGAGGUAUUUAAUUGUCAUAUAAACCUGUAGUUUAUAGACUAUAUGUAGGGUAUAUGCAGCAAUGAUUUAUAUAUCUGUUCAUUCAAUGUUAUUUUUUAAGACAAGAAACCGCUUCAUAUGUGAUAUAUGUUGUAUCUCUAAAAACAUUUUUGUCUACUAAUUACAAGCAGACAGAAAGCAAUUCAUUGGAUGCUGAAAAGGCCGUGCUGAAACAUCGAUUGGAGAUCACGUUGCAAAAGAUUCACUUGCAAGACUGUAAGUAAUUCUUCUGUCUCCUUUGCUAUAUAUAUCCUUACACUUCUCUUUGUUUGAUUUAGUGUGUGUCUGUUGCUGUGUGUUAUUUGUGAAUCAGUUAUUGACUCCAUGCAUAUAAAUAGAGCAUAAUGAUGAGGAAAAUUAUGAUAUUAUUAAUUGUGUUUAUAUUCAUGCUGUAGCUUCAUUAUCAUUGUUGAACCACGCGAAGUCUUGCUUUCUAUAAUGUUAAUGAUAAUGGGAGAUUAAAUAUUAUAUAAUCGUUUUCAGUGCGUCGUGCUCCCUCAUUUUUAAAAUGUAGAUUCGGAUCUUAUAAUGUUGUAAAAUUUCAAUUCUGCACUUUAAAAAUAUGAACGUUUGCAUCAAAGAAGGAGAAGUACAUAUUUCUUCAAUUGAAUCUUUAUUGUAUUAUUUGAUACAUAUAUAGAACAUUAAUUAAUUUCUUCUGACCUUUCCUUUUGGCAGGGUUGAAUGAUCAAAUAAGAAGUGAAAUCCAGCAUAUGAAAACCGUGCUUGGACAAAACAUACCUAAUCUUGGAGCCCAUAUUGGAUUAUCCAGAAGCAAUAGCUAUCGGGACAUAAAUGCUUCCAUAGGCGCCGCCGCACAACUGCUUCCAGAGCUCCAGCUUCAGAACCCGUAUCUGGAGCAACAACCACAGUAUGUUUUUCAGCAGCAGCCAUAUCUCGGGCUAAACAAUUUUGGAUUUCAGAAUGAGCAAGGAGAAUGCAGCCAACUUCAGCAGCAGCUGCUAUACCAAGAGAAUCCACCGCCACUUGAUCAUUACCAAAUGCAAAAUGAACAGGCACAAGGCCACCAACUUCAACAACAACAACAGCUGCCGAAAUUUUGAGCAGCUCCAUGCUGGGAACUUCAACAUUGGAGAGUGAGAACAGAAAUGAGGCAUCGUCAUUCUAUGGAUUUUAUAGGAUUCCUAUUAUCGGAUGAUUAAGUAUCUGUGUUAAUUUAUUAUGUUGUGGUUUGCUUAUUUCAACAGAACUUUAGUUUGUUUGUGUUUGGAGUUAAUUUUAAUUUCAGAAGGAUAUAAUAUGAUAUGCUGUAUAUCAGUUAUUAUAAUUUCCAUAAUUGCUUUGAUCGAUGUUGCUUAAAUCUUGGUUUCUGAGGGUCUUAAGUUGGUCUUUGCUCUAUAUAUGUGUGUGUGUGUUCGAAUUUAGAAUUUUAAAGUAUGAAAAAGUCUAAGAAAAUUCAUAAACCGUGUGGUUUAUUCGCUUAAAGUUUUAAAUCUCUUAAUCCCCCGGUUUUCAAACUUUUUUAGACUUUUCUCGUCUUUAUAUAUAUAUAGUCAUUCUCUAGUGCAAAUACUCUUAUUUUUUUCUUCAUACAGAUACACUUUUAAGCCACGUGGUUUAAUAGAAUCGGAUUUUAACAUUAUUAAAUUGCACGGCUUAACAACGUGUCUGUAUUAAAAAAAAUGAUGGCGUCUGUACCUGAGAAUCAUUAUAUAUAUAUAUAUAUAUAUAAUAUUAAAUUAGUUAUUUGCACGUCAUCAUUUUAGCACUGAUAUAUAUGAAUUUUAUUCUCGCUUUCUUUCUUGAUGAUGUACAUAGACAUAUUAGCUAUAAAUAAAUAGGUUGUAAUCAUACUUGUUAAUUAAUAGCUUGCAACAAAGUUCCAAAGUACAGAUUAGUUAAGGCGAACACAAAAAUCAAAUGUUUAAUCACAGUUCCAUUCUUUUUGCUUCUUCUGUACAAUCCUUUUGGUAUAGAUAAAAGUUAUAUUUUAUAUUUUAACGGUAAUAAUGCUAGAACUACUAACCCUUUUGUACAGGGAUCGGAGUUUGUUGCUCUAUUCUCAAGACAACAAUAAUAAUUUAAAUAUAUAUAUAUAAUUUUUGUAAAAAGCACCAGAUUACUCUUCUUAACUUCCCCAUAGAAAAUAAUAUAUAUAUAUAAUUAUUUCAUGUAUUAAUAAAUUAAUAAGGGAGUCAAAUUCAAUGUAUAGACGUUAAUAAAUUAAUUAGUAAGUGAGUCAAAUUCAAUGGAUAAAUAUUAAUUAAAAAAGAUAUAUAGUUUCAAAAAAUUAAUACAAAAAGUUUCAUGCCAAGAAACUACUAAGAUACUUAAGAAGUUAGAAAUAUUUUGGUUUCAAUAAGAAGAUGGUUAUCCUGAUCAAUUAUUACAUACCUGCAAGUUAAAAGAUGUGGUUGCAAUUUUAAAGAAUAAAUCAUUGUCACAAGUAACUUUAAAAAGAUAUUUUGUUUCAUCUUAAUUAUUUAAUGUAACAUGACAUAUAUUUUAAAAAUAUUNNNNNNNNNNNNNNNNNNNNNNNNNNNNNNNNNNNNNNNNNNNNNNNNNNNNNNNNNNNNNNNNNNNNNNNNNNNNNNNNNNNNNNNNNNNNNNNNNNNNAAUUAAAACUAGUCCCAAGUUGUUACCACAAUUUUUUUAGUACUAUGAAGAGGUUAUUCCUAUAUAGAGUAUUCCUAUUUUGGGGUUCUACUGUAUAUAGUUUUCUAGUCCGGAAUUGAAAGAGCGGGAAGAGUCCGAAAAAACUUUAAAACAUGGGGAUUAAAAGAUUUAAAAUUUAAAGCGAAUAAACCCAACAGCUUAUGAGUUUUCUCAUACUUUCCCGCACUUUAAAAUUUUGGAUUCGAUUAUAUAUAUAAUGCGUUUAGUAUUAAAUUGGUUAUUUGCACGUCAUCAUUUUAGCACCUGAUAUAUAUGAAUCAUUUUUUUAUUCUCGCUUUCUUUCUUGAUGAUGUGCAUAGACAUAUUAGCUAUAAAUAAAUAGCUUGUAAUCAUACUUGUUAAUUAAUAGCUUGUAUCUAUAGAUACAUCUACUUUCUUGCAACAAAGUUCCAAAGUACAGAUUAGUUAAGGCGGACACAAAAAUAAAAUGUUUAAUCACAGUUCCAUUCUUUUUGUUUCUUGCGUACAAUCCUUUUGGUAUAAAUAAAAAUUUUUAUUUUAUAGAGUAAUAAAAAAAAAAGUACCACAAUGCUAGAAUUAUAAUGGUAACAGUGCUAGAACUACUAACCCUUUUGUACAGGGAUCGGAGUUUGUUGCUUUAUUCUCAAGACAACAAUAAUAAUUUUUAAAAAAUAUAUAAUUUUUGUAAAAAGCACCAGAUUACUCCUCGUAACUUUCCCCAUAGAAAAUAAUAUUUAUGAAAGCAAGUAGCCUUGAGAGCAAAGGCAAGAAUGGAAGCAUUCCUCUUGAGCAUCAUUUCUUUGUUUGUUUGUUCUUUUUUCUUUUGCUUGAUGUAGCUGCUUAAUUUUUCUUUAUCUACAAUCUUCGUUUCUAUUCUUUUCUAUCUCUUAUGGUACACUCUUACAAAUCAACCAUUGGUUUAUGAAAAUCACGGUAUAAUCCAAUUGAUUAUUGCUAAGAAUUGAGCCAAAUAUUAUUGCAAUUUAUCCACAAACAAGCUGGGGAUCGAUCCAGCCGCAUAACAGCAUAUAAUAAAACCAUCCUGUAAAUAAAAAGAAAGCUAUUAUAUAAAAGAUGUAAAAAAUGCUAUUAAUCACGGUAUCGUUUUAGUAAUAUUAUUAACAUGGAUUUAAUAAACAACGCACAAUAGAUAAUUACUGAACUACAAGCAAGUUUAUAUAAUUUUCUGAUAAAUCGUGUAGGAAGAAUGCAAUUAGCUAAAGAAAGAGAAAUUAAGGAUUGGUGCAUUGGUUCACUAGAUUAAAGAUUUGAUACAUGGGCUAUGAACAGGCAGAAUUUAUGUGCAACUGUUUCAAUUUUCUUUUUUUUUUUUCACUAGUCUCCUUCGCCAUAUCAACUGGGGAAAGUGUUUUUUCAGAAAUUUGUGUUUGUUGGGUUUCUCCUCAUAACAUGGACAACAAUAUAUCAACAACAUCCUAAUUAUAAGCUUAUGAAGAUUCUAUACCAGGAGUGCCGUGAACGAAAAAGAAUACUUCCGAGGGCCUUUAAGUUUUGUACAUCAGUUGCCAUAUUCAUUAAUGCGCAUUCUUUCUUUAAGUACUUUUUGUUCUUUACCUUUUGCUUUAUAUUAAUUUGUUCACACUUUACUCUUUCUUUGUCCGAUUGCAAUCUUUGUUCUGUUAUUAUGCUUUUCUUUGUCUUAUAAUACACAUUUUGACACAAAACUAUUAAUGUGUUCGUGAACCUCAAGUAUAUAUAUGCAUGUUGAUGUGUAAUAUUGCAAUUGAUUGCUUUCUCACCCUUUCAUUUGUUGCAAACUGACCCAGAAAAUAUAUACAUCCUAGCCUAAAUUACUGCCUGCUCAUUACCUUUUAUACCAUUAGUCCUUCAUUCUUAACCUCACAAAACAAGUUGAAUAUGGCCGCGGAAACUGUUACUUCAGUUAUCCAGCCCAUUACGGAGAAGAUUGUUGACGUGUUGUUCAAUGCAACAGUCCGUCAGUUUGGUUACUUGUGUAAGUACAAACACUACAUUGAAGCGUUGAGGACGGAAGCAAAGAAGCUCACAGAUAGAAGAAAUGACUUGCAAGCGGAAAUUGAUGCUGCAACAAGAAAUAGAGAAGUUAUUAAAGAUGAGGUUAAAAGCUGGAUAGCAGAAGUCAAUGAAAUCAUUCCAAAAGCGGAAAAGUUUUUGGAGGAUGAAGUGAAAGUAAACAAGAAAUGCCUUGGCGGGUUGUGCGUUGAUCUCAAAUCACGUUACAAACUCAGCAGAGAGGCAGAGGGGAAGACUCUAGCAAUUUCUGGUCUCAUGGCUGAUGGAAAUUUUGGAAAAGAUGUGUCUCGUCCUGCUCCUCCACCAGCAAUAAUAUCUUCGUCUGAAGGAUUCUACGCUUUCAAUUCCAGGGAAUCAGCAAUGAAGGAUAUAAUGGAGGCCAUGAAGAAUGAAAAUGUUAGCAUAAUAGGAAUAUGCGGAAUGGGGGGUGUGGGGAAGACCACACUAGUCAAGGAAAUUCAGAAGCAAGCAAAAGAAAUGAAGAUGUUUGAUGAUGUAGCGAUGGCCGUUGUGUCUCAAACUCCAACCAUUACCAAGAUUCAAGGUGAGAUUGCUGGCUGGUUAGGUGUUAAAAAACUGCCUGACAAUGACGAGUCGGCAAGAGCUAGUUUUUUGUGGGAAAGAAUCAAGGAGAAGCAGCGAGUGCUUGUCAUAUUGGACGACUUAUGGGGGCGAAUAAAAUUGUCUGAGGUUGGUAUUCCUUACGGAAAGGAUCACAGAGGCUGUAAUAUUUUGCUCACGUCUCGAUCACGUGCUGUCUGCAAUCAAAUGAAUGCGCACAAAAUUGUUGAAGUCGGAACUUUAACGAAAGAGGAAUCUUGGAGCCUUUUCAGGGAGGUAGCUGGUCCAGAAGUUGAUAAUCUUGAAAUAAACCCGACUGCAAGAGAGGCGGCUGACGGGUGCGGUGGCUUGCCAAUUGCGAUUCUCACAAUAGGAGGAGCGCUGAAGGAUAGAGACAAGCAUGUUUGGAAAGAUGCAGCUGAUCAACUCAAAAGUUCCGCCCCAACGAACAUCGAAGGGAUGGAAGAGUUUGUAGUUUCACGCGUGCAGCUGAGCUACAAUUAUCUGAAAAGCGAGGAGUCAAAAUCAAUCUUCCGACUCUGCAGCUGCUUUCCAGAAGAUUACGAUAUUCCAAUUGAAGUGUUGGCGAGAUACGGAUGGGGUUUGAGGUGCUUACAAAACGUCGAUUCAGUGGAGAAGGCCAGAGGCAGAGCACGUAGUGCUGUAAGUACCCUUAUCUUUUCUUAUUUGUUAAUUGAUGGUGAGGAGGAAGGGUUUGUUAAGAUGCAUGACGUUGUGCGUUAUGUUGCACAACAAAUAGCGUCUAAAAAUAAGUUCUUGAUUAAGGCCGGCGUCGGGCUAAAAGACUGGCCAAGCAUAAAUACAUUUGAAGAUCUCACUGGAAUCUCAUUGAUGUUCAAUGAUAUCCAUGAGGUACCUGAUGAGUUGGAGUGUCCAAAGCUCCAAGCUUUAUUCCUGCAGGAAAAUUAUCACUUAGUCAUUCCUGACCCAUUUUUUCAAGGGAUGAAAGAUCUGAAAGUUUUAGACUUGGAAGGAAUCCGAAUGGUUUCACCGCCUUUCUCACUUUCAUUCCUUAGUAACCUCGGAACUUUAAGUCUUCAUGAUUGCUGUGGCUUGGGCGACCUAUCUUUAAUCGGAGAGUUAAGUAGAUUGGAGAUUCUUGAUCUUUCAGAAUCUGAUGUAAGUGAAAUUCCGGUCAGUUUUGGACGAUUGGGUCAUCUAAGAUUGUUGGAUUUGACAGACUGUGAGCACCUAGAACUAAUACCCCGAGGUGUCCUCUCUAGCCUUCGUAAGUUAGAGGAGUUAUACAUGUCAGACAGUUUUCGCCGCUGGCAAUUUGAGAGCGAAGAAGAUUCAAGCAGUAAUGCCAAAUUCAUUGAAUUAGGAGCCUUGAGUCGACUCACUAGUUUGCAUAUUGACAUCCCGAAAGGCAAAAUCAUGCCUUCUGAUAUGUCCUUCCAAAAUCUGACAAGCUUUUCGAUUACAAUUGGCGACCUUGAGGAGGACCCUCUCAGUUAUUUUAUGGAAGUAUUUUCUAGAAAAUUUAAGAAGAGAUGCUCGAGAGCAAUGGGGCUUUCACAGGACAUGAAGAUUUCAGCGCUACCUUCUUGGAUUAAGAAUUUGCUGCUCAGAUCAGAGAUUCUUGCUUUGGUAGAAGUCAACGAUUUGGAGAAUAUAUUCUCGAACCUAGCUAAUGAUGACUUUAACGAAUUGAUGUUUCUAGCUAUUUUCCGCUGCAAUGAGAUGAAAUGUCUCUUGAACUCAUUGGAAAGGACACAAAGGGUAACUCUCCACAAGUUAGAAUGGUUGUUUAUACGUGAAAAUCAGAAUUUUGUUGAAAUAUGCCACGGUCAACUCCCAGCCGGGUGCUUGAGCAAUGUAAAAAGGUUAGAUGUGGAAGCUUGUGGCAUUAUGUUGAAAAUUUUACCAAGUCAUUUGGUACAAAGCUUUCAAAAUCUUCAACGUUUGAGGGUAGAAAGUUGUGAGUUGCUGGUGUCUGUAUUCGAAAUUGAAAGGGUUAAUAUUGCAAAAGAAGAAACUGAGUUGUUUUCGUCAUUAGAGAAACUGACUCUGAUCGACCUGCCUCGGAUGACGGACAUAUGGAAAGGUGACACUCAAUUUGUAAGUCUCCAUAACCUGACGAAAGUAAGAGUGCAAGACUGCGAUGAGUUGAGACAAGUAUUUCCGGCAAAUCUUGGGGAGAAAGCAGCAGCAGAGGAGAUGGUACUUUACAGGAACAGAAGAGAUCAGAUUCACAUUCACGCCACAACCUCAACCUCCUCUCCGACUCCGAGUUUGGGAAACCUGGUUUCUAUUACAAUUCGGGGAUGUGGGAAAUUACGAAACCUCUUCACAACCUCCAUGGUCAAAAGCCUGGUGCGACUUGAAAGCCUAGAAGUAAGCAGCUGCCCAACACUGCAAGAAAUAAUCAUGGAUGAUGAAGGAGAAGUGGGACUGCAGGGAGCAUCAACAAAGAAGAUCACUUUUCCAAGUUUGUUCAGCAUAAAACUCCGUGAUCUACACAGCCUUGCUUGUUUCUGCUCGUCAGGUUUACAUGCUACUAUGGAAUUUCUAGCUUUGGAGGCUUUGCAAAUAAUUGACUGUCCAUGCAUGAAGACCUUUGGUUAUGGAGACCAACUGACACCCAAGCUGCUGAAAGGUGUGGAGUUAGAAGGUGGUGAAUAUCACUGGACGGGUAACCUUAACCACACCAUUCAACAAUACGUGUACAACUAAAAGGUACGUCAAGUUAGCAAUUGCUUGCCCAUUAAAUUCCUUGUUUUUUUUUUUCUCAAUUGUAUUUGUAUGUGGUGGUAAAAUGAUUUUCUACAUCUGCUUAUACUAGCACACCAUUUUAAUUUUGUUUUUCAUUUGGGGCAGAAAAUUCGGGAGAAAGAACCAAUGAAGUCAGGAAUUUCAUCUGAGACUACUUCCUCUGACACUGAGAAUUGAUUGUGUAAAACAAACGGUAUGCAUGCGUAAAAUUUUACUAAAUUCCCUAGAUUUUGUCACAUAUUUAUCCUUUGACAUUGCUCUAACUAAUCCAAAUACUUGAUUUGUUUUCAGAACCAUCAUAUAAGGAGCGUUGACAGGUUCGCAUACAUCACCGGUUUAUUGAAUUUCAUUCUCCUUUUUCAUGUCUUAUAUAUUAAAUGUACAAAAGAAUUUCAUGUAUUUUCUUCGUUUGGGAUUGUGCAUGAUGUUAUUUAUUCUGGUUUCAAUCUCUCAGGUAUGCCAAGCCCAGAUGCCAGAUUGCUUGGGGUGUUAAAAUAAUAAUUACUUUAGUUCGUGGAGCUGCCUGUAAAAAUUUGGUAUCCAUAAUGUAUGUUGUUUGUUUAGAUAUUAAACAGUUAGAGUUUGUUAAUCAUAGACGCAUUCUCAAUGUGAUAAGUAUCGGCAGGAAACUGCUGAGUUCAAUUCUGAAAAAUAAAUGUAAUUGAGUAUUACGAGUGAGAAAAAUAAUUGUGAAUCCUUAUUUCUUGUUUUUGCACUUGGUUACUAGUCAAUUUAAGAGAUACCUUAAUGAUAUUCUCUUCUUCUAUUUCUUCUAUUCUUAAAUUGUUGUUCAUAAUUAAAAAAAAAUUAAAAUUAUUUGAUAUCCUAGUAACCUACUUUUAGAGCCUGCUAAUUUAGUUGCAGCUUUGCAGUAUUGAGUUACUGAAUUAAAAAUAUUAGAUUUUUCCUCUUUCCGGAUCAAUGGAUGCUAAUGCAGCACAGCUUGCUGGCAAUAGAACAGGCUGCCAAUGGAACACAAAUUUAUAAGUUUCGGGAUAAAUUUUUCAUUAAUUAAUAAAAAGCCGAAUGACAAUUUUCUAGUAACAUAUGCUGAAUCCGGAGCCACAUUCUCUUGGUAACCAUUUUUCCAAAGUAAAAAGCUUCUCUGCUAGUUGUGCCCAAUCCUGUCUCAAGCCAAUAUCAGAAAUAACUCUGAGAGGAUGCCCUGCCAUCAGAGUUCGAUCAAAGGCCUUCAGGAUUUGGCUGAUAGAUAAAUGCUAGAAGCAAAAUUUUAACUUCAGCGGCAGCCGCACCAAGAAAAUCCACAGCCAGUUGAUCAUUAUCAAAUGCAAAACGAACAGGCACAAGCAGAGAAGCAGGUUCCAGAAUUGGAGCAGCAGCUCCGAGGUGGCCGGUGGGAGCUUCCCUAUUGGAGGGUGCGAGCAGAAGUUGAGCCAUCAUAAUUCUGAUUUCCGAAGAGUUUAUUGUGUUUCUAUUAUGAGAUGAUUAAGUGUCUUGACUUUGUUCUGGUGUUGUGUCGAAUGAUUAUUUCAACAUAACUUUGUCUUGAACAGCUUGUGUUUGAAGUAAAAUUCUUCAAAAAAGGGCUGACAGUGACAAGUUCUGUACGUUCCCGAAGGAAGAUUCACCUUAUAUAUUAUUGGCCUUAUGAAGAGCAGCAAGGCUCUCCAGGUUGAGCAAUUGGUGUUGGUUUUGUGACCAACUGCCAUGAUGAUGGUCAGUAUCAUCAAUAUUAUCCUGCAGAUUAAGCCUGCUCACGCCUCGGUUGCAUCAUGCCAAUCAUUAUUUAUCGUCAUCAGUCUGCAUGAUGGGCUCUGCAACAUCACCAUACUCCUCUAGUGCCAUUGUAAUAUCACAAAGCAAGAAGUUGAAACCUGCCGCUGUUGAGCUCUGCAACAUCACCGUACUCCUCUGAUGCCAUUGUAAUAUCACAAAACAAGAAGUUAAAAUGUAGAAAAUGUUUAAAAUCAAAUAAAAUUUGAACCAAAAAAAAAAAAACCACCAAAAGAUUGCACUCACAGUUUUGCGGAAGAAAUUUCUACACUUAAAACGAACAAAAGAGGUAACAGAAUACACGCAUUCUACUAGGAUAAGGAAACGUCGGUUAGUUUUAUAAUUUUAAAUUACUACUAAAACAAUGUGUUUUUGUGUUUAAUACGAAAAAUUAAAAUUGAGUUGAAUCUUGUCCAUCCAAUAAUUUAAAUAAUACACAUCAAAAUGUCUUUAAAACAUUAGGAAAGAUUAGAGUACGAAGGAAAGUGGAUCCAAUUAUUGGGAUAAUUAGUAAUAAAUUUACAAUCAGAAUUAAUCUUUACAAAUUGUUUAAAACUGCACCUCAUAUAUAUUUAGACUCCAUUUGAUAUAGCCUCUCAAAUAGAUCUUAUUUAAAUAGAACUUUUACAAAUAGAGUUUUUAUUUUAAAAAAAAAUUAGUUGUUUGGUUGUUAAUAAGAGUUUUUAUUAAAAAUUAUAAACUAUCAAAGUUUAAAGUUAUGUUAUAAAAACAAUAAAAUAAGAAUAUAAAACAAAUAAUGAGCAUUUUAGACAAUUGAACUUUCUAAGAAAAAAAAAACUUUGUAACCUCUAGCCCUAAAAACUCAAAAUUUGAGCUUUUUUUAGUGGAGGUAAAAUACUAUUUAUUUAACUCUCAAAAGCUCUAUUAAAAUAAAAUAAAAAAACCAAACAACCAAAAAUAAAUAAAAUUUUUAAAAAGAACUUAUAUACAUUAGAUAAGUCAUUCAAGUAGGCAUUUAAAAAGAAAAAAAUUCAGUCAAAACUCAACUCAAAGUAUCAAGUUUAACUUAAAAGCUUGGGCUAAUGGGUUGAGCCCUCACUAGCUCAUGGUACAAUUACAAACUUUUAAAAUACGAUUUAUAUAAACGAAAUUAAUUUAACAUUUAUGUGAUAAAAGAUUAAGAAAUCUUUAGUCAAAUAAGAAAACUAAUAUAUGCGAUUUUUAUGGGAAAACAAAUUGGUGGAAAGAAUCUCAAUUUCACAUAAUUAAUUUUAUUUACAAUAUUAUAAUAUAUUAAUAAUUUUUGUCAAAAUUUUUAUUUAUUUAAUGUGAAAACAAAUGCAUUGUAUAUAUUUAUUCUAUUACUUAAAUUUAAAACUAUAAAGAAUGAAACUUAAAUUUAAAAUUGUAAAGAAUGAAUAAUAACUUAAAUUAGUAGAUUAUGGGAGGAUACCUUUCAAAAAAAAUUAAAAUUAACUAAUUUUUUAGGCUUCUAAUGUAACAUUUUUAUUUUAUUUUUUUGUUAACAUAAGACAAAAAUUUAGUCUAAAAAACUCAUUCUAGGGUCUCCUUAGGGUAAAAAAAAAAUCAUUAUCACAUGAUAAUUUGAUAGCCUAAGUUGUAUUAUUUUUAGUUUACUUAUUCAUGUCAAACACCUUAUUGAGAUUAAAUUUUAGUAAAGGUAAACCCAUCCCACAUCUUUAAUCGCAUUCAGUAGGCCCUAAUUGAUUAGAUCUUGUUAUAGAAAGUAAUAUAUAACUCUUUCUUUAUUACAAUGCUAAAGAAAAAAACAUAAACACAAUAUAUUUCUUUUGAGAAAAUGCAAGUAUUAUGUUUUUUAGGUUUUUCGUUUAAGAAAUUAAUCUAAUUUAUGUAGUUAUAAGACUCUUAUUUUUUUAUGUUUUAGAAGAAUUAUAUGUUUGAUAAUGAAUAAAUUAAGAUUUAAAGUAGGACAAACUAAUUUGAGAGGGAGAUAGAGAAAAUAAUUUUUUUAGAAUUUGAAAAUUAUUAUAUUUUAAUUGGGGCUUAUUACAUAAAAUUAAUAAAACAUAUGGUUUUUAUUAUUUAUAGAAAACAAUAUGAAUUGCUAAAGAAAACACUAAAUAAUUUUUUUUAAAUUUGAAAUUAUUAUAUUUUAAUUGGGGCUUAUUGCAUAAAAUUUAUAAUUUUUAUUAUUUACAGGAAACAAUAGGGAUCGUUAAAAACAGAUACCAAAUUUGGGGGUUUGGUACAACGGUUGCAAAGUAGUUUUGUCCUCCUUUCCAUUAAUAGAGAAUUCUCUCUUCAAUUAUUGAUUGGAGUUUGUACACUAUCUUUUUUUGUUUUAUAUUUAAUUUUUGACACUUUACUCUUUCUUUGUCCGAUUACAAUUUUUGUUCUGUUAUGAUGCUCUUCUUUUUCUUAAGAGUACAUACUUUGACACAAGACCAGUUAUCUGCUCAUCAAUCUCAAGCGUGUAUUAUUGCAAUUGAUUGCUUUCUCACCCCUUCAUUAACCCAGAAAAUACAUACAUCCUCGCCUAAAUUACUGUCUGCUCAUUACCUCUUAUACCAUUAUUCCUUCAUUCUUAACCUCAAAAAACAAGUUGAAUAUGGCCGCGGAAACUGUUACUUCAGUUACCCAGCCUAUUACGGAGAAGAUUGUUGACGUGUUGUUCAAUCCAACAGUCCGUCAGUUUGGUUACUUGUGUAAGUACGAACACUAAAUUGAAGCGUUGAGGACGGAAGCAAAGAAGCUUACAGAUAGAAGAAAUGACUUGCAAGCGGAAAUUGGUGCUGCAACAAGAAAUGGAGAAGCUAUUAAGGAUGAGGUUCAAAGAUGGCCAGACAAAGUUGAUGAGAUCAUUCCAACAGCUGAAAAUGUUUUGGAGGAUGAAGUGAAAGUAAACAAGAAAUGCCUUGGCGGGUUGUGCGUUGAUCUCAAAUCACGUUACAAACUCAGCAGAGAGGCAGAGGAGAAGACUCUGGCAAUUUCUGGUCUCAUGGCUGAUGGAAAUUUUGGAAAAGAUGUGUCUCGUCCUGCUCCUCCACCAGCAAUAAUAUCUUCGUCUGAAGGAUUCUGCGCUUUCAGAUCCAGGGAAUCAGCAAUGAAGGAUAUAAUGGAGGCCAUGAAGAAUGAAAAUGUCAGCAUAAUAGGAAUAUGCGGAAUGGGGGGUGUGGGGAAGACCACACUAGUCAAGGAAAUUCAGAAGCAAGCAAAAGAAAUGAAGAUGUUUGAUGAAGUACCGAUGGCCGUUGUGUCUCAAACUCCAAGCAUUACCAAGAUUCAAGAUGAGAUUGCUGGCUGGUUAGGUAUUAAAGAACUGCCUGACAAUGACGAGUUAUUAAGAGCUAGUCUUUUGUGCAAAAGAAUCGAGAAGCAGAGGGUGCUUGUCAUAUUGGACGACGUAUGGGUGCAGAUAGAAUUGAAAAAUUUUAAAAGAGAUGCUCGAGAGCAAUGGGACUUUCACAGGACAUGAGGAUUUCAGCGCUACAUUCUUGGAUUAAGAAUUUGCUGCUCAGAUCAGAGAUUCUUGCUUUGGCAGAAGUCAACGAUUUGGAGAAUAUAGUCUCGGACCUAGCUAAUGAUGGCUUUAACGAAUUGAUGUUUCUAGUUAUUUUCAGCUGCAAUGAGAUGAAAUAUCUCUUGAACUCAUUGGAAAGGACACUACGAGUAACUCUCC
rnacentral:lncRNA from 1 species